rnacentral:rRNA from 1 species
GAUGAACGCUAGCGGCAGGCCUAAUACAUGCAAGUCGAACGGUGUCUUCGGACAUAGUGGCGCACGGGUGCGUAACACGUAUGCAACCUACCUUACAUUGGGGGAUAGCCUUUCGAAAGGGAGAUUAAUACCGCAUAAGACAGUAGCUGGGCAUCCAGCAGCUGUUAAAGAUUUAUCGAUGUAAGCUGGGCAUGCGUCCAAUUAGCUAGUUGGGGAGGUAACGGCUCACCAAGGCAAUGAUUGGUAGGGGAACUGAGAGGUCAAUCCCCCACACUGGCACUGAGGUACGGGCCAGACUCCUACGGGAGUCAGCAGUAGUGAAUAUUGGGCAAUGGACGCAAGUCUGACCCAGCCAUGCCGCGUGCAGGAUGAAGGCGUUAUGCGUUGUAAACUGCUUUUAUACAGGAAGAAACGACUCUUGCGAGAGGCAUUGACGGUACUGUAUGAAUAAGCACCGGCUAACUCCGUGCCAGCAGCCGCGGUAACAC